ACAGAAUUUAUUACAUUUAACAGAGUUAGAAGUUAGCAGGAAGUUAGCAGAAGUUAGCUCGCUAGUUUUGCUAGUUACCUAAGCAUGAUAUAGCAUGUUCUGACUGAGAGAUUUCUGAAAAAAUUCAAACGUACAGCUCUGCUAUCAUUUCCAACAUAAAUGAAGACAGGAAACUAAACAGCAGUGACAUUUGUAAGGUUACUGAAGUUGGGCUAGCUGGUAUAUAAUGAUGUGCUACGUGAUCGCUAGCGACACAGCUAUGUUAGCAUAACAUAAACAGUGAAGCUGGAGGAUGAACGCUCACUUUUCCACUCGAUAAAAGUUAACGUGAAGGUUCCUGAUAGUUAGAGACAAAUGCAAUCGCAUGGCAGGAUGCUGUAAACGGACCAAACUUCAGUCAGGAAUCAAUGGUACAGAAGUGGAGGAAGCAAGAAGAAAGGAUUUAUUUUACCAAGUGGAUCAUCAUGGCCUUGCCAUAUUGGUCCAUUUGAUUGACCUUUAUUAUAAUUAUGAAUUUAUUUUAUUUUCAGUUGCUACAAACGGGACAGACAUGACUGGGGGAUAGGACAGGGAGAAAGAAUGAAAGAAAGAGAGGGAGAGAAAGAGAACCAAAGGGGAGAAGAGACGGUGAGAAGGGGGGGAAGAAAGAAAAAAAAAACACCUGGGUCACCUGUAUGGAGAAAAAAAAACAGAAGAGAAAGCAAACAACAAAGAGCAACAUAAUAAAAAAAAACGGCACCAUCACAAUAAACUAGCUAGCAGUAGAUAUCAAUAGAUACUAAAUAAUAAACGAUAUUGUGCAGCACGCAAGAUAGACAGCGCACAAUGUGCUUUGAGGCAGCAGCCAAGAAAGCUGUAGUCCGCGUCUGUGAAUACCCGUGUGUACACCUGUGUGCAUACCUGUGUGGAUCAGCAUGCUUGCAUUCCAAAGGUUUCUCCAUGUAACGAUCUGCUAGGGAGUGUGGGGAGCCACAGCCCCGUCCUCCAGGGUAUGAAGCAGGUAUGGAGGAGAUCAAAACUCCAGACAUCCAGAGGCCCCCAGAACACAACAGACCAAGGAAGACCAACAGAGGGGCAGCCGCGCCACUGUCCCAGGAAGAGCUGAGGAGAGUCCCAGAUGAGGGCUCACUCAGCAGCCGCGGAGCAGAAGCCAGGGGCAGUUGCAGUGACGCGCCCGUGCGCUCCGCCGGCAGCCAGCCGUGCCUGAGUGACCGAGCCCCAGGCCAAGAGGCCGGGGGCACCCCACCUCCGAAGUGGCCCGAGCGAGCCCCAGGCUCCAGGCCCCGAUAAGCGGCUGCCAAGGAGUGAGCCGGUGUGUACCCGGACGCCCAUCCCUGGACACCAACGCACCGAUGUCUGAGGGAGUC
ensembl:lncRNA